UACGGAGGAUCCAAGCGUUAUCCGGAAUUACUGGGCGUAAAGAGUUGCGUAGGUGGCAUAGUAAGUUAGAAGUGAAAUCGUGUGGCUCAACCAUACUCACAUUUCUAAAACUGCUAAGCUAGAGUAUAAGAGAGGUAGCUGGAAUUUCUAGUGUAGGAGUGAAAUCCGUAGAUAUUAGAAGGAACACCGAUGGCGUAGGCAGGCUACUGGCUUAUUACUGACACUAAGGCACGAAAGCGUGGGGAGCAAACGGG
rnacentral:rRNA from 1 species